GAUGAACGCUAGCGGGAGGCCUAACACAUGCAAGCCGAGCGGUAUUGUUUCUUCGGAACUGAGAGAGCGGCGUACGGGUGCGUAACACGUGUGCAACCUGCCUUUAUCUGGGGGAUAGCCUUUCGAAAGGAAGAUUAAUACUCCAUAAUAUAUUGAACGGCAUCGUUUAAUAUUGAAAGCUCCGGCGGAUAGAGAUGGGCACGCGCAAGAUUAGCUAGUUGGUGAGGUAACGGCUCACCAAGGCGAUGAUCUUUAGGGGGCCUGAGAGGGUGAUCCCCCACACUGGGACGGAGACACGGACCAGACUCCUACGGGAGGCAGCAGUGAGGAAUAUUGGUCAAUGGGUGCAAGCCUGAACCAGCCAUCCCGCGUGAAGGACGACUGCCCUAUGGGUUGUAAACUUCUUUUGUAUAGGGAUAAACCUACCCUCGAGAGGGUAGCUGAAGGUACUAUACGAAUAAGCACCGGCUAACUCCGUG
rnacentral:rRNA from 1 species